ensembl:lncRNA
CAAAGGUGGCUAACUAAGUAUGGUUGGACCCUUCCUUGUGAGAAAUAACACGAGCUAAAUGUGUCCCCUCGAAAAGGGGACUCGAGUCCGAGCAGUGAAACGUCUAUCGCCUUACCUCGGUGGUGCGCGCAGAGGGAAUGUUUUGACAAGUCCGCGAGAUGAGCAGGAAUUAAGGAAGCGUUUACUACGCAACAGCACACACUGAUGCCUUCAGGCGAUUAAGUGCCUUGCUCGAGGACACUUCAACAGCAAGGAUUCAAAAUAUUUGUUUGACGCCGGCAACAACAGGACAGAUGCCUGCAGCACUACAGACUAUCUGAACCCUCGUGUCAGCAGGCAGAACGCAGCAGUGGCACCGCG